rnacentral:rRNA from 1 species
CCGGGCGCCCAACCUCCCACCCGUGACUACCUAACACUGUUGCUUCGGCGGGGAGCCCUCUCGGGGGCGAGCCGCCGGGGACUACUGAACUUCAUGCCUGAGAGUGAUGCAGUCUGAGUCUGAAUAUAAAAUCAGUCAAAACUUUCAACAAUGGAUCUCUUGGUUCCGGCAUCGAUGAAGAACGCAGCGAACUGCGAUAAGUAAUGUGAAUUGCAGAAUUCAGUGAAUCAUCGAGUCUUUGAACGCACAUUGCGCCCCCUGGCAUUCCGGGGGGCAUGCCUGUCCGAGCGUCAUUGCUGCCCAUCAAGCCCGGCUUGUGUGUUGGGUCGUCGUCCCCCCCGGGGGACGGGCCCGAAAGGCAGCGGCGGCACCGUGUCCGGUCCUCGAGCGUAUGGGGCUUUGUCACCCGCUCGAUUAGGGCCGGCCGGGCGCCAGCCGACGUCUCCAACCAUUUUCUUCAGGUUGACCUCGGAUCAGGUAGGGAUACCCGCUGAACUUAAGCAUAUCAAUAAGCGGAGGAAGAU